ACGCAGCCCGACUUGAGCGGAAAUCCUUUUUUGCGUGUACAAAAGUUAUAUUGAACCUGAAAUUGUCUGCAAAAAAGAUUGGGAGCGGAAGGCGGAUUAAGC
rnacentral:sRNA from 1 species